rnacentral:rRNA from 1 species
GAUGAACGCUGGCGGCGUGCCUAAUACAUGCAAGUCGAGCGAACAGACGAGGAGCUUGCUCCUCUGACGUUAGCGGCGGACGGGUGAGUAACACGUGGAUAACCUACCUAUAAGACUGGGAUAACUUCGGGAAACCGGAGCUAAUACCGGAUAAUAUAUUGAACCGCAUGGUUCAAUAGUGAAAGACGGUUUUGCUGUCACUUAUAGAUGGAUCCGCGCCGCAUUAGUUAGUUGGUAAGGUAACGGCUUACCAAGGCAACGAUGCGUAGCCGACCUGAGAGGGUGAUCGGCCACACUGGAACUGAGACACGGUCCAGACUCCUACGGUAGGCAGCAGUAGGGAAUCUUCCGCAAUGGGCGAAAGCCUGACGGAGCAACGCCGCGUGAGUGAUGAAGGUCUUCGGAUCGUAAAACUCUGUUAUUAGGGAAGAACAAAUGUGUAAGUAACUAUGCACGUCUUGACGGUACCUAAUCAGAAAGCCACGGCUAACUACGUG